rnacentral:rRNA from 1 species
GACGAACGCUGGCGGCGUGCCUAAUACAUGCAAGUCGAACGAGAGCGACCGGUGCGUGCACUGGUCAAUCUAGUGGCGAACGGGUGAGUAACACGUGGGUAACCUGCCCAUCAGAGGGGGAUAACAUUCGGAAACGGAUGCUAAAACCGCAUAGGUCUUCGAACCGCAUGGUUUGAAGAGGAAAAGAGGCGCAAGCUUCUGCUGAUGGAUGGACCCGCGGUGCAUUAGCUAGUUGGUGAGGUAACGGCUCACCAAGGCCGUGAUGCAUAGCCGACCUGAGAGGGUGAUCGGCCACAUUGGGACUGAGACACGGCCCAAACUCCUACGGGAGGCAGCAGUAGGGAAUCUUCCGCAAUGGACGCAAGUCUGACGGAGCAACGCCGCGUGAGUGAAGAAGGUGUUCGGAUCGUAAAACUCUGUUGUUAGAGAAGAAUAAGUGCUAGAGUAACUGUUAGCGCCUUGACGGUAUCUAACCAGAAAGCCACGGCUAACUACGUG